rnacentral:rRNA from 1 species
GACGAACGCUGGCGGCGUGCUUAACACAUGCAAGUCGAACGGUAAGGCCCUUCGGGGUACACGAGUGGCGAACGGGUGAGUAACACGUGGGUGAUCUGCCCUGCACUUCGGGAUAAGCCUGGGAAACUGGGUCUAAUACCGGAUAGGACCAUUGCCUGCAUGGGUGGUGGUGGAAAGCUUUUGCGGCGUGGGAUGGGCCCGCGGCCUAUCAGCUUGUUGGUGGGGGGAUGGCCUACCAAGGCGACGAGGGGUAGCCGGCCUGAGAGGGUGACCGGCCACACUGGGACUGAGAUACUGCCCAGACUCCUACGGGGGGCAGCAGUGGGGAAUAUUGCACAAUGGGCGCAAGCCUGAUGCAGCGACGCCGCGUGAGGGAUGACGGCCUUCGGGUUGUAAACCUCUUUCAGCACCGACGAAGCGCAAGUGACGGUAGGUGCAGAAGAAGGACCGGCCAACUACGUGCCAGCCGCCGCCGUAA